GGAUACGUCGAGUGUUUAGCGGGCUCGCGUCGUUCUUCGACAGCCGGUCCACUGAAGCAGACAACCUUCUGAUGAUCAUCUCGAGCGGCCCCCGAUUUGAGUAUACCCUUCAACGGGAGUCGUCAUAAGAGAUACGGUCCGUGGUCAUGGGCGGUGUGGGAGGACGUGGCGGCGCUGCGCUCCCUUCCACCACGUCUAGCGCGGUGAGACACCGCUCCAUGGCGUUCGGUUCCGCUACCGCCGCUUGCCCAAUCUUCGCCAAAUGCGCUCUCAUCUCUUCUGCUUGUUCCUCUCGAACUGCAUCCUGUUUAAAAUUCAUUAUACAUUAUUGAGAGCUCAAAUAGACCAAACACCUGAGUAUGCUGUUGUAAUUGUAACGCAAUGGUAGAUGAGUGGUCAUUGUGGUCUAAUCAAUAGAUACUGUAAUCGUUUUGAUAGUUUGAUAACUUAAUAACUUAAUAGUGUAACAACAGUUAAGUAUAUUACGGUAAAAGAUAACAUUAAAUUUGUAAAUAAGCAAUACUCGAAUUCAGAACAAGAACAAUAAUAAUCGACUUAAAUUUUUUAAAUACAUUUCAAUAAAGAUAGAUUAAACAUGUUUCUGAUUUAUAUUUUUUAAACAGCAAUCUCGUAUAACGAUUAGUACCUACUGUAUGUAUAUUCGUACAUUUGAAGUAAUUAAUGCUAGACAUUAGUUACUAUGAUCUGUGAAUAAUAUGCAACCAAAUUUAUGGAAUAUUCAUUUGCUAACCUCGAGUUCAUCUUUCAAAUUGCCUUCUCUCAUGUGAUAGUUGCGAACAUUAUCAAUAACUUCUUGCGGAAACUUCUCAGGGUUGGCAGUCAUGUAGCGGUACACGAAGAGGUCGCAACCGAUUAUUUUAAAACGAUGCUUGAAGACGGGGACUGUUGCACCUUUAUAUACAGAAAAAGACAUCUGUUAGUAUCUGCAUAUUAAAAUUUGAAUUC